rnacentral:rRNA from 1 species
AAAGCUCCGGCGCCUAAGGAUGGGUCUGCGGCCUAUCAGGUAGUAGUGGGUGUAGCGUACCUACUAGCCUACGACGGGUACGGGUUGUGAGAGCAAGAGCCCGAAGAUGGAUUCUGAGACACGAAUCCAGGCCCUACGGGGUGCAGCAGGCGCGAAAACUUUACAAUGCUGGAAACAGCGAUAAGGGGACCUCGAGUGCCAGGUUACAAAUCUGGCUGUCGUGAUGCCUAAAAAGCAUCGCAUAGCAAGGGCCGGGCAAGACCGGUGCCAGCCGCCGCGGUAACACCGGCGGCUCGAGUGGUAACCGUUAUUAUUGGGUCUAAAGGGUCUGUAGCCGGCCGGAUAAGUCUCUUGGGAAAUCUGGCAGCUUAACUGUCAGGCUUUCAGGAGAUACUGUCUGGCUCGAGGCCGGGAGGGGUGAGAGGUACUUCAGGGGUAGGGGUGAAAUCUUGUAAUCCUUGAAGGACCACCAGUGGCGAAGGCGUCUCACCAGAACGGACCUGACGGCAAGGGACGAAAGCUAGGGGCACGAACCGGAUUAGAUACCCGGGUAGUCCUAGCCGUAAACGAUACUCGCUAGGUGUCGGCAACGGUGCGACCGUUGUCGGUGCCGUAGGGAAGCCGUGAAGCGAGCCACCUGGGAAGUACGGCCGCAAGGCUGAAACUUAA